rnacentral:hammerhead_ribozyme from 1 species
AUCCAGAUGAUGAGCCCCAAAUAGGACGAAAUGUGCAUCCUGUAU